UCCCCGGUGGCUCAGAGGGUAAAGCGCCUGCCUGCAAUGCAGGAGACCCGGGUUCAAUCCCCUGGGCCGGGAAG